UACGUAGGCAGCAAGCGUUGUUCGGAAUUACUGGGCGUAAAGGGUGCGCAGGCGGCCGUGUGUGUGAGGUGUGAAAUCCCGGAGCUUAACUCCGGAACUGCGCCUCAAACUACACGGCUAGAGCAUUGGAGAGGGAAGUGGAAUUCACGGUGUAGCAGUGAAAUGCGUAGAUAUCGUGAGGAACACCAGUGGCGAAGGCGACUUCCUGGACAAUUGCUGACGCUCAGGCACGAAAGCGUGGGGAGCAAAA
rnacentral:rRNA from 1 species